rnacentral:rRNA from 1 species
CACGUAGGGUGCGAGCGUUGUCCGGAAUUAUUGGGCGUAAAGAGCUCGUAGGCGGUCUGUCGCGUCUGCUGUGAAAACUCGGGGCUUAACCCCGGGCCUGCAGUGGGUACGGGCAGACUAGAGUGCGGUAGGGGAGACUGGAAUUCCUGGUGUAGCGGUGAAAUGCGCAGAUAUCAGGAGGAACACCGGUGGCGAAGGCGGUUCUCUGGGCAUUACCUGACGCUGAGGAGCGAAAGUGUGGGGAGCGAACAGG